UGCGCAUGCGCCCUGUGCGCGGGGCGGGGUCUGCGGGCGCUGUGCGCGCAGAUGAAGAAACCAAGGCUUUGUAACUAACUCAACCCCGCAAGGAGGACAAAACUGGCACCAGAGCACCUUACUCCUGGAUCUGGCAAGAAUGCCUCUUGUUUGCUGAGAAGUCCACAUAUUUAUCCAGCGCAAGAGUGGGAGAUGAAAGGCGACCAGGUCAGUGCUAGCCUUUCUCUGAGCUCCUCUGAGUCUGGGCAGCUGAGGUGCUCCUCCGGGAAUGUUCUGCCGUCCACGAGGCAGCGCAGGCCUGGAAGCUUUUGUUCCAUUGAACUCUGCCAGGGAGCUAUACUUAGCCACGCGAGUGGAGGCCAGGAGUGGGUUCUCUGAAUAUAGAUAGUAGCAAAGCAGACUAUUUUCAAACACUGAGAACCUCCCCGAUUGUUCUGGGCCAAAAUGAUAUUUAUAGAAUGCUUUGGGCUCCUGGACGCAAAGGCAAUAACCCUAGUGCCUUUUGGCGUUCAGGAGAGAAGCUCCUUUCAACAGGGAGUGGGGUGAGGGAUCUGCUCACCCAGAGGCCCGCCGUCCCUCAACACCUGUUUCCAGGAGGCCAGGCGUCCUCCUUACUUUUCCAUUAUGAAUCAGAGAACAGCGAGAGGCACGCGGUGCCCUGCUGAUUUUCCUUCCUGCACACCCUGUUGUGGGUCCUGUCUGAGGCCUGCCGUGUGCUAUCAGGGAAGACGUCAUCAGGGGACUUUUCCUGCUGUGAGGAGGGUGCAGCCCCUGCCUUUCAGAGCUCGGGACACCCUCUUACUCCUGUCAAGGAUCCUCAGAGAUGUCCUAGGCUUCCACUCUCAGCCAGACAUCACUGGGCCAUAACGAAACACCUACUUCCAAUGUGCGCAGGUCCUGCAGCCUCCUGUCCAUCCCUGCCCCACCUCCCACCCGGGAGAAAGACUGACAGUGUACCUGGAAGAGUUUGCUGGAAAGGCCUUCCCUAGGGAGGAGAGUGGAAAUGGGACCAGUGAAGGUUAGGGUGGGAAGAGUAGGCCUGGGUCCUGAGAGGAGGAGCUGGCCAGGCCCCGAGCCCCCGGGAGCUGUGAGCAAAGCUGAGACACCCCCUUCCUGGUGCUCAAGCUGCAGGUGUUGGAGAGGGCCCCAGAAGCCCGGAUUUUAAGUGACCGCCACAGGUUAACCUGAGGAUGGUGAGGCAGAACAAGGAGAGGCCAGGCGGGAAGCAGGGCAGGGCAGGGCUAGUGGACAGUGUCCAGGGGUGUCCUGGGUGGGGCAGGCCGCCCACACUGCCUCUGCCUUGGGCUGGACCUAAGCGGAGUGGAUCUUCCAUUCAUUACACCCCAGCCCCCCGGCAUGUGCCCUGCCUUUCCUCUGCCCCUCUCUCUGCCAACCCAUCCUCUCCCUCCCAGCCCCUGCCUGCCCAGAUAUAAAUAUAAGAGCAUUUUCCAUGGGCUGAUACAGAAGGGAAAACAUUCAGCCUUAUUUUUGGCUUGUGAAAUUCCUGUCCUUCAUUCCCAACAGGUGCAACAGCCUCAUUUAGAUAUUGGGGCCCAGAAAUAGAACACAAUUUACAAUAUAGCUUCCUUUAGGCAUCUGGAUGCUACUUGAGAAAAAAGCACUCCUGAGACAUGCCGAGACAGCGCAAACCUUGGCUGGCGCUCUUGCCUUUUUCCAGGCCGGUGGAGCCCCUCAGAGCUGGCGGCCUGACCGUGAAGCAGAGGAGGCCAGAGCUGCAGGAGAUGGGAGGGAGGGAGGGGGCCCUGGAGGACAGGCUCCUAGCCCCACUCCUCCUCAAGGCCUGGGCGCUGGCCUGUCCCCUGCCUUUGCCCUGAUGGGGAUGAGGGAGAGGAGAUUGGGUCAGGGAGCAAUUGUGGCCGUUGGGGAAGGUGACUUGGAUGCAGCGUUUGAAGGAGAUGCUGUUAGUAAAUCCCAUUGGUUAAGAUUCACUGUCCCCCAUGA